GGAGAGUUGGCCGAGCGGUUGAAGGCACCGGUCUUGAAAACCGGCAAAGGGCAACCUUUCCAGGGUUCAAAUCCCUGACUCUCCGCCA
rnacentral:tRNA from 1 species